AGGACGAACGCUGGCGGCGUGCUUAACACAUGCAAGUCGAGCGGUGAUCCUCCUUCGGGAGGUGAGCAGCGGCGAACGGGUGAGUAACACGUGGGCAACCUGCCCCUCACACUGGGAUAACCUCGGGAAACCGGGGCUAAUACCGGAUAUGACCUCGAGCGGCAUCUCUUGAGGUGGAAAGCUCCGACGGUGAGGGAUGGGCCCGCGGCCUAUCAGCUUGUUGGUGGGGUAAUGGCCUACCAAGGCGACGACGGGUAGCCGGCCUGAGAGGGCGACCGGCCACACUGGGACUGAGACACGGCCCAGACUCCUACGGGAGGCAGCAGUGGGGAAUAUUGCGCAAUGGGCGAAAGCCUGACGCAGCGACGCCGCGUGAGGGAUGAAGGCCUUCGGGUUGUAAACCCCUUUCAGCAGGGACGAAGCGAAAGUGACGGUACCUGCAGAAGAAGCGCCGGCUAACUACGUGCCAGCAGCCGCGGUAA
rnacentral:rRNA from 1 species